GCCAAUCUUGCAACAUUCAUU
rnacentral:snRNA from 1 species